UACGUAGGGUGCAAGCGUUAUCCGGAAUUAUUGGGCGUAAAGAGCUCGUAGGCGGUUUGUCGCGUCUGCUGUGAAAACUCGAGGCUCAACCUCGAGAGGUCGGUGGAAACCGUCUGGCUAGAGUCCGGAAGAGGAGAGUGGAAUUCCCGGUGUAGCGGUGAAAUGCGCAGAUAUCGGGAAGAACACCCGUGGCGAAGGCGGCUCUCUGGGACGGUACUGACGCUGAGACGCGAAAGCGUGGGGAGCGAACAGG
rnacentral:rRNA from 1 species